rnacentral:rRNA from 1 species
UACAGAGGGGGCAAGCGUUGUUCGGAAUUACUGGGCGUAAAGGGCGCGUAGGCGGUCUGCUAAGUCGAACGUGAAAUCCCCGAGCUCAACUCGGGAACUGCGUCCGAUACUGGCAGGCUUGAAUCCGGGAGAGGGAUGCGGAAUUCCAGGUGUAGCGGUGAAAUGCGUAGAUAUCUGGAGGAACACCGAUGGCGAAGGCGGCAUCCUGGACCGGCAUUGACGCUGAGGCGCGAAAGCCAGGGGAGCAAACGGG